rnacentral:lncRNA from 1 species
UCAUCACUCAGGGAGUGAAUUAAUCAAUUAACACUACCGUAGUAUCUUUACUUUUGUGAAUUAAAGGAAGAAAAAGAAAAGGAAAAAAGAACAAAGAACAAAAACGGAUAGAAAUAAUGUCGGACAAAUAUAUCAUGAGUGGGAAGUGGGAAAAAAAUGAAGCAAAUGAAUUAAAAAAAGACAACCUCACAGCUCAACUCAAUCAUUUCAUGAGUUGAGAAUGUUUUGCUUCAGAAGCAUGUCCUACAUUAUUAUGGAGGGGCAAACACAACAGCACUCUCUAUAUGCUAACUUCACAAACACUCUUACUAUUAAACAAUCUUUCCCCAUUGAUUCAUAAACUAAUAUUCAAGUAACAUGAUAUGCCAUUAGUAAUACCCACCUCUCCAUCAUCAACCCACAUAAUAAAAACCUAUAAAGCAAGAACACUCCUUAAAUUAGACGUGUUCAGGUCCUUAAAUUAGACGUGUUCAGGUGGCGGAUACAAGUUGGUGUUAAACAC